AUUGCCCUAGUAACGGCGAGUGAAGCGGCAACAGCUCAAAUUUGAAAUCUGGCUUUCGGGUCCGAGUUGUAAUUUGUAGAGGAUGAUUUUGGUUAGGUACCUUCCGAGUUCCUUGGAACAGGACGCCUUAGAGGGUGAGAGCCCCGUACGGUUGGAUGCCGAGCCUCUGUAAAUCUCCUUCGACGAGUCGAGUAGUUUGGGAAUGCUGCUCUAAAUGGGAGGUAAAUUUCUUCUAAAGCUAAAUACCGGCCAGAGACCGAUAGCGCACAAGUAGAGUGAUCGAAAGAUGAAAAGCACUUUGAAAAGAGGGUUAAAUAGUACGUGAAAUUGUUGAAAGGGAAGGGCUUGUGACCAGACCUUUGCCUUGCGGAUCAUCCGGUGUUCUCACCGGUGCACUCCGCUUGGUUGAGGCCAGCAUCAGUUUUGGCGGCGGGAUAAAGACUUCAGGAACGUGACUCCCCCGGGAGUGUUAUAGCCUGCUGUGUAAUACCGCCGCUGGGACUGAGGACCGCGCUUCGGCUAGGAUGCUGGCAUAAUGGUCAUCAGCCACCCGUCUUGAAACACGGACCAAGGAGUCGAACAUUUAUGCGAGUUUUUGGGUGUUAAACCCUCAAGCGUAAUGAAAGUGAACGGAGGUGAGAGCCCUUACGGGUGCAUCAUCGACCGAUCCUGAUGUCUUCGGAUGGAUUUGAGUAAGAGCAUAACUGUUCGGACCCGAAAGAUGGUGAACUAUGCGUGGAUAGGGUGAAGCCAGAGGAAACUCUGGUGGAGGCUCGCAGCGGUUCUGACGUGCAAAUCGAUCGUCAAAUCUGCGCAUGGGGGCGAAAGACUAAUCG
rnacentral:rRNA from 1 species